GGUCCUAACUGGCUCAACUGGUAGAGCAUGGCAUUAACAUUGCCAGGGUUAGGGAUUCGAUUCCCACUGGGACCA
rnacentral:tRNA from 1 species